GAAGCUCAUCUUUGAACUGUCCCCGCCUUCUCCCGCCUUGACUUGUGACCCUAGGCCCUUUGGGGCGCCUCUGACCCAGCUAGCCAGAUCCCGGACCCAAACCAUGUUCCCUGUGAAGGUGAAAGUGGAGAAAUCAGGGAGCGUCUGGAUGAGGAAGCUGGGAAAACACCCUCAGACACCCACAAUAAGGACUGCUCCAUCGCAGCCACUGGCAAAAGG
rnacentral:lncRNA from 1 species